rnacentral:rRNA from 1 species
UACGAAGGGGGCUAGCGUUGUUCGGAAUUACUGGGCGUAAAGGGCGCGUAGGCGGUCCUGAUCGUCGGAUGUGAAAGGCCUGGGCUCAACCUGGGAACUGCAUCCGAUACGGCGGGACUGGAGUGUGGGAGAGGUUGGUGGAAUUCCCAGUGUAGAGGUGAAAUUCGUAGAUAUUGGGAAGAGCACCGGUGGCGAAGGCGGCCAACUGGACCACAACUGACGCUGAGGCGCGAAAGCGUGGGGAGCAAACAGG